UUGGUUUUGAGGCUUGUUCGAGGGAAACGAGAGUAGGAAUGCCUCCUUCCCCUUCUCUCUUUCUCCACUUCAAUGCCGAUGAUUCAUUUUUCCUAAUCUCCCUCGCAUUUCUACUUCUUCCUUCCCACUUCUCUCGUGUUCGAUCUAAGAGGCGAUGAUGAGACAUGAACCUUACUGAUGGAUUAGAUCAUCUGUCAUUUUGGCACGCUUGGAUCGAUCAUGGUGUCGGCGAAUCGCAGAUUCUCAAUGCGUAUGUAUAACCUUGAUCCUAGCCCUCAACUCGAUUUCCGCACUUCUAUGCUCUGUUUACCGAUUGUAAAGGGUGCUGACGAGCAUUUCUUGGUUUUCCUUACCUCUUUCAAGACCAAUUUUAUAAAUGUUAUCAUGUUGUACAUGUUCUUGAGGAGAGUAUGUUCCAGAUAUGGAGCUUAUCUGAAGGUAAGUUACUGAGGAGCAUUACAUAUCCUUCCCAAAUCAAUGCUAUCACGAUCCUUGGGAGUGUGUACUUUUGCUUGUCGGCGGAGAUUGCAACGUAUAUAUUGCAGCGCUAACUGCUGAAUGAAACCCUAGUUGCAGAUAAUGAUGUUCCUCAUUAAUACCUUAAAUGAUCUCAGGCCACGAUGUUAUUAGUUGCUUGGUUUUGAUUAGCAUAUCUUUUCUUCUAUAUUUAUGUACUCGUAAUUUUGUGCGACGUGUUCUGGAAAAUUUCUUAGUAGAGACUAUACUCAUACUCUUCGCAGGUGUAUUAGAA
rnacentral:lncRNA from 1 species